GCGGGAACACAGAGGUGACUGAGCAGAAAGGGGGACAGCCACAAUGGCCGCGGGUGUGCAGAUAUUGCGGGGCACCCCAGCAGCCCUUUCCGUCUUAAAGAGGACGGCCACGGGUGUGCGGAUGCUCCCGCGUGACCCAGCCGUCCUUUCCACCUUAUAGGGGAAUGGCCACGGGUGUGCGGAUAUUCCCGGGUGCCCCAGAGCCCUUUUCACCUUAAGGAGAUUUUCACAGUCUCAUAUCAGUCUCCAAACUAUUCAGUGAGGUUGGAGGAGUAUCACUGUGGACCAACACUGAUUGGCACCAAGUAAGGGCAAUUUUAUAACCAUGUCUCAACCAUGAAACAAUCAGGUCUUUGGCCAUCUGGUCUAAGCUUUUUCUGUAACAAAGUUGGAUAAUUAAGUUGAACUUUGGUUUUCCAAAGCUUGUUACAGAAACCACAUCUUCCUAGGUGUGGCUCUGUGGUGUCACGUGCACACAUCAGUAGCCAGGCUUGCCAAGACUCACGGCACGUUACACGUUCACCUGAGAAGGCUGCUGAAUCAUUGAGGGCUCUGGCGUGCUCUGAAAUGAAUUUGCCACUUCAGCCUACACUCUACUCCCUUGUUUGGUUAAAGAAACCCAAAAGCAGAAUUUGUUUUGGCCAAUCGCCUGCUGACCCAACUGCAGAGGUUUUAAUUAGAGUACUUUCAUUGCAUCAUAGAAAGCAAAGUCAUAUAGAUCAACUCAUUAUUACCACUCCAAAGGUUUAGUAAAUCUCCAGAUAAUCAGGCAAACAUUUUAAGAAGCUACAUUAAGGUUUACAAUACUCAAAAUUUAAAACUACAUCCAUGCUUCAAAAAACCACCAUUCCCAUUUUAGAUGGCCAAAUGCAUAUGAGAAAGAAAGAAACGUGCUGAGCGCAUUUUUUGGGUAAUCUUAUGGAGAAACUGCCACUUUAAAAAUGGCUCUAGUUCCUGGCUCCAGAUGGGUGUGGUGGGUUGCCUCACUCAAUUUCAACUCCACCUGAAGCUGGGACACUAGAAAUCCAUUCCCAGACUCCAGGGCACCAGAAUUCCCACUUCUGGAAACAGCCAGGAAUGCAGACCUGUAGCAGAGAAUUCUUUCCUGCCCACCCUAACUGUCCUCUGUGGAAGGCGACAGUCAAAGACAAGUCCACCCCCCUAGUCGCAACUGCACCACGAAGAACCAUUUCAAGGUGGGAAGUGAUUGAUCAGUGGGAACAGGCAGUUUAGCUAAUCACUUAUAAGGCAGAGAAGGGGGGUUUGAAGGCCUGUAUCUGGUCUUGUCCUCGGUAAACGGUCAUCCGCCAGUCAGCCUAAGCCACAUGGGAAGGGGCUUCUUGCAGUAAAAGUGGGGGCGCAGUUGUGGGGAAGGGGAAUGUCUUAACAAUCACUGUUUUACAGGAUCACAGGGCUCAGGCAAUGUUCAGUAUUGUCACACACCAAGGUUUUUACAGUCUGAAGAAAACUACAGUCCUAAACAGUUUCUCCGUAAGAUUACCAAAAAAAUGCACUCGGUACAUUUCUUUCUUUCUCCUAUGCAUUUGGCCUUCUAAAAUGGGAAUGGUGGUUUUUUGAAGCAUGGGUAUAGUUUUAAAUUUUGAGUAUUGUAAACCUUAAUGUAGCUUCUUAAAAUGUUUGCCUGAUUAUCUGGAGAUUUACUAAACCUUUGGAGUGAUAAUUAUUAGUUGAUCUAUAUGACUCUGCUUUCUAUGAUGCAAUGAAAGUACUAUAAUUAAAACCUCUGCAGUUGGGUGCAGCAGGCGAUUGGCCAAAACAAAUUCUGACUUUUGGUUUUCUUGAACCAAACAAGGGAGUGUAAAGUGUAGGCUGAAGUGGCAAAUUCAUUUCAGAGCACGCCAGAGCCAUCAACGAUUGAGCAGCCUUCACAGGUGAACGUGUAACGUGCCGUGAGUCUUGGCAAGCCUGGCUACUGAUGUGUGCAUGUGACACCACGGAGCCACACCUAGGAAGAUGUGGUUUCUGUAAGAAGCUUUGGAAAUCCAAAGUUCAACUUAAUUAUCUGACUUUGUUACAGAAAAACUUUGACCAGAUGGCCAAAGACCUGAUUGUCUCAUGGUCGAGACAUGGUUGUAAAAUUGCCCUUACUUGGUGCCCAUCAGUGUUGGUCCACAAUGAUACUCCUCCCACCUCACUGAAUAGUUUGGAGACUGAAAUGAGACUGUGAACAUCUCCUUAAGGUGAAAAGGGCUCUGGGGCACCCGGGAAUAUCCGCACACCCGUGGCCAUUCCCCUUUAAGGUGGAAAGGAUGGCUGGGUCACACGGGAGCAUCCGCACACCCGUGGCUGUCCUCUUUAAGGUGGAAAGGGCUGCUGGGGUGCCCAGCAAUAUCUGCACACCUAUGGCCAUUGUGGCUGUCCCCCUUUCUGCUCAGUCACCUCUGUGUUCC
rnacentral:lncRNA from 1 species